rnacentral:rRNA from 1 species
CAGCCGCCGCGGUAAUACGUAGGGUGCGAGCGUUAAUCGGAAUUACUGGGCGUAAAGCGUGCGCAGGCGGUUGUGUAAGACAGGUGUGAAAUCCCCGGGCUUAACCUGGGAACUGCGCUUGUGACUGCACAGCUAGAGUAUGGCAGAGGGGGGUGGAAUUCCACGUGUAGCAGUGAAAUGCGUAGAGAUGUGGAGGAACACCGAUGGCGAAGGCAGCCCCCUGGGCCAAUACUGACGCUCAUGCACGAAGGCGUGGGGAGCAAACAGGAUUAGAUACCCCCGUAGUCCCUGUCUCUUAUAC